UACAGAGGUCCCAAGCGUUGUUCGGAUUCACUGGGCGUAAAGGGUGCGUAGGCGGCGCGGUAAGUCGGGUGUGAAAUCUCGGGGCUUAACUCCGAAACUGCAUUCGAUACUACCGUGCUUGAGGACUGGAGAGGAGACUGGAAUUUACGGUGUAGCGGUGAAAUGCGUAGAUAUCGUAAGGAAGACCAGUGGCGAAGGCGGGUCUCUGGACAGUUCCUGACGCUGAGGCACGAAGGCCAGGGGAGCAAACGGG
rnacentral:rRNA from 1 species